UGAGGAACAUGACUUUCGGCGGGGGAUAGCCGGCCCAACGGCCGGGUAAUACCGCGUACGACCUUUCGGGGACAUCCCCGGAUGGUGAAAGCAGCAAUGCGCCGAUGGAGUGCCUCGCGGCCUAUCAGCUAGUUGGUGAGGUAACGGCUCACCAGGCAACGGACGGGUAGCUGGUCUGAGAGGAUGGCCAGCCGCAGUUGGGACUGGGACACGGCCCAGACUCCGUACGGGAGCAGC
rnacentral:rRNA from 1 species